rnacentral:rRNA from 1 species
AGAGUUUGAUCCUGGCUCAGGACGAACGCUGGCGGUGUGCUUCACACAUGCAAGUCGAACGGAGUAGCAAUACUCAGUGGCGGACGGGUGAGUAACACGUGGGAAUCUACCAUUAGGUGGGGAAUAACAGGCCGAAAGGACUGCUAAUGCCGCAUAUGUAGGCAUCUCGACAGAGAUGUUUAUGAAAGGAGUAAUCCGCCUUUUGAUGAGCCCGCGUCCGAUUAGCUAGUUGGUAGGGUAAAAGCCUACCAAGGCGACGAUCGGUAGGUGGUCUGAGAGGAUGAUCACCCACAAUGGGACUGAGACACGGCCCAUACUCCUACGGGAGGCAGCAGUGGGGAAUUUUACGCAAUGGGGGAAACCCUGACGUAGCGACACCGCGUGAGCGAAGAAGCCCUUUGGGGUGUAAAGCUCUGUCAACAGGAACGAAACAAAUGACGGUACCUGUGGAGGAAGCAUCGGCUAACUACGUGCCAGCAGCCGCGGUAAGACGUAGGAUGCAAGCGUUGUCCGGAUUUAUUGGGCGUAAAGAGUUCGUAGGCGGUUUGUUAAGUCUGAUGUUAAAGACCGGGGCUCAACCUCGGAAAUGCAUUGGAUACAGGCAGACUGGAGUGCAGUAGAGGCUAGUGGAAUUCCCAGUGUAGCGGUGAAAUGCGUAGA